rnacentral:lncRNA from 1 species
GAACAAGGCUGAUGCAUAAGGUCUGUAGCUAUCCUGUAAGGAGCAGAGACUGAGCAUCUGAUAUUUACCUCUGUGUGGAACUGAGCAAGAAAUGACAGUGUGGAAAUGACUGAGCCCUUGAUCAUCUCUAUCAUCCUCCAGUUGCUGACCUCCAUAGGUGGACCCUUGCUGGAGGCAGAAAUCAAUGCUCUGUGUAGCUCAGCCUGCACGAAGCCUGCUGAAGAGCAUGAAGGUGCCUGGAGAAUGCUUCCCAACAGCGUCUUACCUCCGAGCACUCUGGCACCAAAACAUCUUUGGAGGAGAUGCAAAACCAGCCUGUCUGAUAUUCCAUGCCCACACUGAAAGAAAAAGGAAAAAGUGGAGAAGCAUAAGAGGUGACAGACACUGUGACUCGCAGCUAUGCUGGCCGUGGUUACAGCUGUUUGCGUCUUUAUUGUCUUUUCACAUGGCAGUGCCCGCUUGUGGAGAUGAUGGCUGUAAACCAAGUGUGAGCCUGCAGCCUUGGCAGCAGUUACAUUGAAAUUGGAAUUAAAAAGCCUCUGGGGAAAAGGCAAGAAAUAACG